rnacentral:sRNA from 1 species
CACAUCUCCACAAUCCGCACAUCCACGGCACAUGGGGGUUCGGCUUGGGUUUUGGUUUUUUUUUCUUUUUUUUUUGCUUCUUCUUCUUCUUUUUUCUUUUUCUUUUCUUUUCUUUUCUUUUUCCAGGAGCUAGGGAGCUAUCUCCCCUUAUCGUGAUCCGCCACAUUCGUUGCAUGUCCACUACCGAGGCACGUGCGCAACCACUCACAAAGCGACACCUCGUUGGUUCCGUUCCCCAGAUGCGGGCUGUCCAUGGUACAUUCUAUAUACUCUACAUACUGUACAUUCUGUACAUACUAUAUACUCUAUCCUCUCCUCUCAAAGGACCCUGAGAUCGGGCAAGGGUUCGCUGCCUCCACUUCCCUUCUCUUCCCUGAGAUCAGAUAGAAGCUUCUCUGGCGGUGGUGGCUCGCUGAUAACACUUCCUCCCGGGUCUGGGCGGGGACCCAGCGUCACGGGCGGACCUUGUUGUUGUUAUUACUGUUGUUGUUUAUUGUUGUCUCUGUGUGUGUGUUUACAUCGCUGGCAGUAUCCGUAACAACAGUACAUGCAUACAUACAUGCAUACAUAUAUACAUAUAUAUAUACAUCUCGCGUAACAUCCAGCCCCGUCAUCGCCCCAACUCACUGGCUAACUAACUCCCUCCCAACCAACCGAGGUUAUACUCACCCAUAUUACGCCCUUCCUGGCCCUGCAACCCGCUUCCUUCGUACG